CUGGAACAGAGAAGUGCCUCGCAAGAGGAAUUCGGAGACAGGUGCUGCAUGGCUGUCGUCAGCUCGUGUCGUGAGAUGUUGGGUUAAGUCCCGCAACGAGCGCAACCCUUGUCUUUAGUUGCCAUCAUUAAGUUGGGCACUCUAAAGAGACUGCCGGUGUCAAACCGGAGGAAGGUGGGGAUGACGUCAAGUCCUCAUGGCCUUUAUGACCAGGGCUACACACGUACUACAAUGGCAGGUACAAAGGGCAGCCACUUAGCGAUAAGGCGCGAAUCCCGUAAAACCUGUCUCAGUCCGGAUUGGAGUCUGCAACUCGACUCCAUGAAGUUGGAAUCGCUAGUAAUCGCAGAUCAGCACGCUGCGGUGAAUACGUUCCCGGGCCUU
rnacentral:rRNA from 1 species